CUUCGUCUCUGCUUCAGAGCAUACAAAUUCAAGUAUAUUUGCAUUUAUAUUUAUUUUUAAUUUUUUUCACUGCAAAACUGAUCGCAUAGCGGAGUGGAUAUCGCGUUAGACUCCGGAUCUAAAGGUCGUGGGUUCGAAUCCCACUGCGAUCGUAUCCUUUUUGCCUUUCCUUUUUUUCUUUUUGACCGUUAUCUAAAUUUUCUACCCCAAUUUUUGUGGUACAAGUUUUUGAAGUGACAAAUUAAUUGAAGUUUUCAUCAGUUUGUUUGUACGUAGAUGCAAUUCUUAGUAUAUUUAUAAUUCUAACACAUUAAACACAUUUGUUCAGGAAUUUUAUCCUAUAUUUGAACACUCAGAUAACUUUUUGGAGUGCUAUUCAAUACUUUGGGAAAAAAUUGAAGUUUUUCUCAACGUGAUUAUUUUAUAAUUCCUAAACAAAGUAAAAAUGGCCGCUUCUUAUAGCUUGCUGACAUUUGGAAUAGUACUCUUGCUGCAUAGUUUGAUGGAACGUGUUUAGAGAAUUUUCUGCAUGAAUUCUUUGGAGGUCGUGAAAAUGUUGAUUAAAAGGUUCUGUAAUAAGAUUAUAUAGAAAUUCGAUUCUUUAUUUUUAUAUCGUUUAAAAUGUUCAGACAAUGUUGUCCAUAUGGUUCUUGAUCGUUGCAUGGUUUAGUGGAAUACAUUUAGAUAUUGUUGUCCAUAAAAAUCUUCGGAGGUCUGGCAGUGUUCGAAAAAAGAUGGUAAUAACACGAGAAUCUCAAUUUACAAUUUUCGAUCUAAAAUUGUUAAUGAGUGCUAUAAUAUUGUCAGAGUGCAAGUGUUCUGCUAGUUGCUUGAACUUCUUAAGCAAACACACCAUGGAAGUUCACAUUAUAUGCAACUAUUUUCCUUUUUGCUCAUGGCAUAAUUUUUGGCUAUAUUGACAACGUUUGAACAGAACCUUAUUAAAAAACAAGCUAGAUAAAGCUGGUGUCCUACCCAGAUUCAGUGAUGGCUUUGAAAAUGUUGUAUCAACUUUUGUGUUUAAGGCUCGUUUGGCAUGACUUUUGCUUUUACUUCCUAUAGAUGAGCUUUUGAAUAAAGCUACUUUAAUUUUGGUUUGAAAAUUAAUUUUUAAAUGAGU
rnacentral:tRNA from 1 species